rnacentral:tRNA from 2 species
CGGUAGUUCAGUUGGUUAGAAUACCUGCCUGUCACGCAGGGGGUCGCGGGUUCGAGCCCCGUCCG